UGGGGAUAAUAGGACAGUAAUGAUCAAAUGAAAUAAUAUAUCAGUAAUGUGUCUACAAUCAUUUAUCAGAGAGCCUGGUUCUUUGUUUCACCUCCAAAAUUUCUAUUGACACCUAAAUCCUUAUCUCAGGGUCUUCUUCUUAGGGAUCCUAAACAAGAAAACCACAGACAAGGUCAAAACAACCACAGGCAAGACCCCCCAACUCCUGGACUGAAG